UUGAAGAGUUUGAUCAUGGCUCAGAUUGAACGCUGGCGGCAGGCCUAACACAUGCAAGUCGAGCGGUAGCACAGAGAGCUUGCUCUCGGGUGACGAGCGGCGGACGGGUGAGUAAUGUCUGGGAAACUGCCUGAUGGAGGGGGAUAACUACUGGAAACGGUAGCUAAUACCGCAUAAUGUCGCAAGACCAAAGUGGGGGACCUUCGGGCCUCAUGCCAUCAGAUGUGCCCAGAUGGGAUUAGCUAGUAGGUGGGGUAACGGCUCACCUAGGCGACGAUCCCUAGCUGGUCUGAGAGGAUGACCAGCCACACUGGAACUGAGACACGGUCCAGACUCCUACGGGAGGCAGCAGUGGGGAAUAUUGCACAAUGGGCGCAAGCCUGAUGCAGCCAUGCCGCGUGUGUGAAGAAGGCCUUCGGGUUGUAAAGCACUUUCAGCGGGGAGGAAGGCGAUAAGGUUAAUAACCUCAUCGAUUGACGUUACCCGCAGAAGAAGCACCGGCUAACUCCGUGCCAGCAGCCGCGGUAAUACGGAGGGUGCAAGCGUUAAUCGGAAUUACUGGGCGUAAAGCGCACGCAGGCGGUCUGUCAAGUCGGAUGUGAAAUCCCCGGGCUCAACCUGGGAACUGCAUUCGAAACUGGCAGGCUAGAGUCUUGUAGAGGGGGGUAGAAUUCCAGGUGUAGCGGUGAAAUGCGUAGAGAUCUGGAGGAAUACCGGUGGCGAAGGCGGCCCCCUGGACAAAGACUGACGCUCAGGUGCGAAAGCGUGGGGAGCAAACAGGAUUAGAUACCCUGGUAGUCCACGCCGUAAACGAUGUCGAUUUGGAGGUUGUGCCCUUGAGGCGUGGCUUCCGGAGCUAACGCGUUAAAUCGACCGCCUGGGGAGUACGGCCGCAAGGUUAAAACUCAAAUGAAUUGACGGGGGCCCGCACAAGCGGUGGAGCAUGUGGUUUAAUUCGAUGCAACGCGAAGAACCUUACCUGGUCUUGACAUCCACAGAACUUUCCAGAGAUGGAUUGGUGCCUUCGGGAACUGUGAGACAGGUGCUGCAUGGCUGUCGUCAGCUCGUGUUGUGAAAUGUUGGGUUAAGUCCCGCAACGAGCGCAACCCUUAUCCUUUGUUGCCAGCGGUUAGGCCGGGAACUCAAAGGAGACUGCCAGUGAUAAACUGGAGGAAGGUGGGGAUGACGUCAAGUCAUCAUGGCCCUUACGACCAGGGCUACACACGUGCUACAAUGGCAUAUACAAAGAGAAGCGACCUCGCGAGAGCAAGCGGACCUCAUAAAGUAUGUCGUAGUCCGGAUUGGAGUCUGCAACUCGACUCCAUGAAGUCGGAAUCGCUAGUAAUCGUAGAUCAGAAUGCUACGGUGAAUACGUUCCCGGGCCUUGUACACACCGCCCGUCACACCAUGGGAGUGGGUUGCAAAAGAAGUAGGUAGCUUAACCUUCGGGAGGGCGCUUACCACUUUGUGAUUCAUGACUGGGGUGAAGUCGUAACAAGGUAACCGUAGGGGAACCUGCGGUUGGAUCACCUCCUU
rnacentral:rRNA from 1 species